rnacentral:tRNA from 2 species
GCCUCCUUAGCUCAGCUGGCCAGAGCACCUGUCUUGUAAACAGGGGGUCAUCGGUUCGAAUCCGAUAGGGGGCUCC